UAAUAACUCUUUGCCUAGUUUUUGCUCCUGAAAAUUGUCCUCUAUCUGUAUGUAUUUUUCUGAAAGUUUUAUGGUUUUAUACUAAUGUAUGCAAUACAUUUUAAGUUAUUUUUUUUAAGAUGUGAAGUUCAGGUUGAGGUUCAUUACUUUUGGCUUAUGGAUGUCCAGUUGUUCCAGCAUCAUCUAUUGAAAAUGCUAUCAUUCUACCACUGAAUAGCUUUUGCACUUUUUCUGUUGGCUCCUGUUUAAAGAAAGUGUUCUCACUUCAAAUCUGAACGAUGAACAUCCCCUGGAAAUGGGCCUUCGAUUGAGAUAUUUUUCUGCAAAUUGCGCUACUUGCUCUACUGCUAUAAUGUUCAAAGUGAUAUGGACAAACAGUAAUUAAUGAAGCAGUUCUUUCUGAAAAGCAGGUAAAUCGUAGGACCCUGAAGUUAAUGUAAUUUUUCAGAACACUUGUAUCAGUAUUCUGGGAUCUACCCCAGUUAAAAUUCAUGGAACGAAGCUUUAUGCAAUUCAAAAUGCUUAAUAAAAAAAAGAAAGAGAAAAAGAGAGAAAGAAAAAAAGAAAGGAAGAAAAAGAAAGAAAAAGAAAGAAAGAAAGAAAGAAAAAAGAAAGAAAGAAAGAAAGAAAAGAGAGAGAAAGAAAAGAGAGAGAAAGAAGGAAAAUGAUGUGGUUAAAAAACAGGUAUUUGAAGCCAGCUGAGACUGAAGCUUAGCUGUUGUUUGGCAUUUUAAACAAUAAGAAUAAUGCAAAUUCUGCUUUCUGGAAAUACUUCACGGAAAAGAAUUGGUGGUUUAAUAAAAUAUUUUCCAGCUGCAACCUUUUUCACUUCUGGCCAUUAUUUACAGAUACCAGAAAUGGAAGUCAUGUAUUUAAAAUGAUAAUUUGUGAAGCUAAAACAUAAAAUGAAUACAAUUGAUCACAUGGUUAGGUUAAUUUAUACACCUAAACAAAUGACUUUUUAAAAUUCUCUCCAGCUUUAAUAUUCUGAGUUUUAGACUUUCUUAUAUUUUACCUUGCAACAUAAAGGUAAAAGAGAUUGGAUGCGUUUUGUAAAAUAUCACCGUUGGUAUAUUUGAAUAUUUUAUUUCUCAGUGUUAGAAUAUUUGAUUUGAGAAUUAAACUUCAGUAUCAAAAUAGGCAACAUUAAGUAAUGGGGCUAUGAAAAUGGGAUCUGCUCUCUUCCCAAACACGUGUUACCAAUGAGAAAAUCAAAAGAUUUUUUAAAGCAGCUUACCAGAUAAUGAUUGUUUUGCAGCUUAUUUUUUAAAUUGUAUUUUAAGCCAGGUUUGGAAACCGAUGCCUAGCUCAAAGGUAAUACCCAUGAGACCUAAUAUGCUCCAUUGAAAAAAAAGCUUAUGGCAUGAUCAAAUUGAAUUUCAUGAAGUUCAUCUACUAGCUUGUUGGCCUUUACUUCCAAAUCUGUUUUAUCAUAUGCACUAUAAAUUGAAAAGCAACAGGAAAAGUUAUGCUGAACAGCUGUCCUGCUAUUACAAAAAAAUUCUGGGAAUGAAGUUAACUAUGCCGUGUGAUUCCAUUUCUGUGCUGCUGAGAAAGGAGCUACAUGACAAGGCAAUUUCCUUUUACAGUAUUUAUGAGGACAGAUACACUUAUGGUGUGAAUCACGUCCUCUACACGUGUGUGCAGACAGUAGGGCAAUAGAGUCUAAACACCAACUUAGAGGGGUUACCAAAAGACCAGUGCUCUAAAAAACAAACAUUUAAAAAAACCUCUUUUUUCACCAAUAUACAUAAUUCCUUCCAGCGCCCCUAUCAUUUAUGCUUUUGGCUUGCAUCAUUUUAGGCCCUAAAAGAUCUUCAGUUGGAAAAACAUAAUAGCUUGUCUUUGUGGGGUAAAUUGCAUAUGGAGGAGCUGUUUCACACAUAUUAUCUCACAUGAUCCCCACACUGUGGUUUUAUAAAAGAAAAAAAGUGAAUUUCUUGGAGAUGACAAGACUGUCAAAAGCACAGGACUCAUGAAUUGAAUCAUGGGGCCAAAGUUUUCCCGUGCUGUUCUCCUGAUAGUGAAUAAGUCUCACGAGAUUUGAUGGUUUUAUAAAGGGCAGUUCCCCUGUACACACUCUCUUGCCUGCAACCAUGUAAGACAUGCGUUUGUUCCUUCUUCCCCUUCCACCAUGAUUGUGAGGCCUCCCCAGCCAUUUGGAACUGGAGUCCAUUAAACCUUUUUCUUUAUAAAUUACCCAGUCUUGUGUAUGUCUUUAUCAGCAGUGUGAGAACAGACUAGUACACUUAUUUAUGUAUUUUAUUCGUUUUGGAAUUAGAGUAAGGAAAAUUGUCGUAUAAUUUAGUUCUCCUUUUCACCCAGGUGUUAAAAAUAGCACCAAAUAAACAUUGACUUCUUUGUUUUGCCAGAUAUAUAAGAAAUUUCCC
rnacentral:lncRNA from 1 species